rnacentral:rRNA from 1 species
UCCGGUUGAUCCUGCCGGACCCGACUGCUAUCGGGGUAAGGCUGAGCCAUGCGAGUCUAGGGCUCCAAGCCAUGGUGGGGCCCGGCGCACGGCUGAGUAACACGUAGCUAACCUACCCUUAGGAAGGGGAUAACCCCGGGAAACUGGGGUUAAACCCCUAUAGGCGAGGACCCCUGAAAUCGGGUCUUCGCUGAAAAGGCUUCUAGACCAUGCUUCUAGAAGCCGCCUGAGGAUGGGGCUGCGGCCCAUCAGGUAGUUGGCGGGGUAACGGCCCACCAAGCCUAUAACGGGUAGGGGCCGUGAGAGCGGGAGCCCCCAGAUGGGCCCUGAGACAAGGGCCCAGGCCCUACGGGGCGCAGCAGGCGCGAAAACUCCGCUAUAUGCGCGAAAGCGCGACGGGGUUACCCUGAGUGCCCCCUGCUGAGGGGGGCUUUUCCCCAGUGUAAACAGCUGGGGGAAUAAGGGGAGGGCAAACCUGGUGUCAGCCGCCGCGGUAAUACCAGCUCCCCGAGUGGUCGGGACGAUUAUUGGGCCUAAAGCGUCCGUAGCCGGCCUGGUAAGUCCCCUGUUAAAUCCGGCGAUCCAAUCGCUGGACUGCAGGGGAUACUGCUAGGCUAGGGGGUGGGAGAGGCCGACGGUAUUCCCGGGGGAGGAGUAAAAUCCUCAGAUCCCGGGAGGACCACCAGUGGCGAAGGCGGUCGGCUGGAACACGCCCGACGGUGAGGGACGAAAGCUGGGGGAGCGAGUCGGAUUAGAGACCCGGGUAGUCCCAGCUGUAAACCAUGCGGGUUAGGUGUCGGAUCGGCUAUGAGCUGAUCCGGUGCCGAAUGGAAGCAACUAAGCCCGCCGCCUGGGGAGUACGGCCGCAAGGCUGAAACUUAAAGGAAUUGGCGGGGGGGCACCACAAGGGGUGGAUGCUGCGGUUUAAUUGGAGUCAACGCCGAGAACCUCACCAGGGGGGACAGCUGGAUGAUGGUCAGAUCGAAGAUCUUACCUGACUAGCUGAGAGGAGGUGCAUGGCC